rnacentral:lncRNA from 1 species
AAGCAACAGAUGAAAAAAUAUUAAAGUUGAGAUAAAUACCUGGGCACAAUUUAUUAUUAAACCAGAGCACAGGAAUGCUCAUUUCAGUACAAGAUUAGACAGGAUCGCAAGCACAAGCCUGAACAAUCAACACGAGGAGACAUCACAAGAACACACACUCGUACAGGCACACAUCAGGGGGGACACACCUCGGCUUAUUUCGCGACGAACGAGCGCCAGAAACUAAGAUCAUGGCUUCAUCAGCGCAGCGACCUUCUGGACGGACGGCCUCGCCAACAGGUCAGUCCACCAGGCCUUCACAUGCGGGUACGCGUCGAACAGAGAUGCGUAGGGUGUAGCCGCCAAGCACAGGGUGACAGACACAUGGUUAAGGUCCGCAAGACUGAGGGAGUCUCCAGCCAGGUACUUGGACUUGCUCAGGUGCGCCUCGUACACUGCCAGCACGUUCUUGAUCUUAACAAG